CGUGGGAUCGUCCACGUGAAGCAGCGGGCUUUUCCUGCAUCUAACUGGCUUUGGCAUGAAAUGUUCUCCUUUUCAAAGCUCUGCAGCUUCUCGGCAAUUGUUCCCCUCGAUGGACAUCCUCUCUGGGGGGUUUUCUGUCGUUGGAAGACGUGACGCUGCUCGCUCCCCUCG